GGGGGUGUGGCUCAAGUUGUAGAGGGCCUGCCUGGAAAGCAAGAGGCCAGAGUUCAAACUCUAAUACCUCCA
rnacentral:tRNA from 1 species